GAUGAACGCUAGCUACAGGCUUAACACAUGCAAGUCGAGGGGAAACGACAUCGAAAGCUUGCUUUUUCUAGGCGUCGACCGGCGCACGGGUGAGUAACGCGUAUCCAACCUGCCCACCACUUGGGGAUAACCUUGCGAAAGUAAGACUAAUACCCAAUGAUAUCCCACGAAGGCAUCCGAAUGGGAUUAAAGAUUUAUCGGUGAUGGAUGGGGAUGCGUCUGAUUAGCUUGUUGGCGGGGUAACGGCCCACCAAGGCUACGAUCAGUAGGGGUUCUGAGACGGAAGGUCCCCCCACAUUGGAACCUGAGACACGGUCCAAACUCCUACGGGAGGCAGCAGU
rnacentral:rRNA from 1 species